rnacentral:misc_RNA from 1 species
GUUUCAUAUUGCGUUAGAAGUUACAGGUUCAAAUCUCAAGCAUUAAUGGCUGGUAAAACGUAUUUAAUUUAGCAAUAUUCUAAAUAAUCAAUCCUUUUGUCCAGUAAAGAUCAAUGGCAAUUCAAAACUUUUAAGAAUACAAAAAAUGUUAUCCUUUUCUACAGAGAUUUAAAUGUCAAUCAACGGACAGAUAUUGCCUUUAGCGUUCCAGGCAUGCCCAACUACUCAUCAAAGCCAGAGGUUGCUGUA